ACGAACGCUGGCGGCGUGCUUAACACAUGCAAGUCGAACGGGAUUUAGUAGACAGAAGCCUCGGCUAAAGAUUACUAAUGAGAGUGGCGAACGGGUGAGUAACGCGUGAGCAACCUGCCUAUGACAGUGGGAUAGCCUCGGGAAACCGGGAUUAAUACCGCAUAAAAUCGUAGAAACACAUGUUUCAACGGUCAAAGAUUUAUCGGUCAUAGAUGGGCUCGCGUCUGAUUAGCUAGUUGGUGAGAUAACAGCCCACCAAGGCGACGAUCAGUAGCCGGUCUGAGAGGAUGAACGGCCAAAUUGGAACUGAGACACGGUCCAAACUCCUACGGGAGGCGGCAGUGGGGAAUAUUGCACAAUGGGGGAAACCCUGAUGCAGCGACGCCGCGUGAACGAAGAAGGUAUUCGUGUCGUAAAGUUCUGUCCUAUGGGAAGAUAAUGACAGUACCAUAGAAGAAAGCUCCGGCUAAAUACGUG
rnacentral:rRNA from 1 species